AACGAACGCUGGCGGCAGGCUUAACACAUGCGAGUCGAGCGCCCCGCAAGGGGAGCGGCAGACGGGUGAGUAACGCGUGGGAACGUACCUUUUGGUUCGGAACAACUCCGGGAAGCUGGAGCUAAUACCGGAUAAGCCCUAACGGGGAAAGAUUUAUCGCCGAAAGAUCGGCCCGCGUCUGAUUAGCUAGUUGGUGAGGUAACGGCUCACCAAGGCGACGAUCAGUAGCUGGUCUGAGAGGAUGAUCAGCCACACUGGGACUGAGACACGGCCCAGACUCCUACGGGAGGCAGCAGUGGGGAAUAUUGGACAAUGGGCGCAAGCCUGAUCCAGCCAUGCCGCGUGAGUGAUGAAGGCCUUAGGGUUGUAAAGCUCUUUUGUCCGGGAAGAUAAUGACUGUACCGGAAGAAUAAGCCCCGGCUAACUUCGUG
rnacentral:rRNA from 1 species